CCUACGGGGGGCAGCAGUGGGGAAUAUUGGACAAUGGGGGGAACCCUGAUCCAGCCAUGCCGCGUGUGUGAAGAAGGCCCUCGGGUUGUAAAGCACUUUCAGUGAGGAAGAACGCCUGGUGGUUAAUACCCAUCAGGAAAGACAUCACUCACAGAAGAAGCACCGGCUAACUCCGUGUCAGCAGCCGCGGUAAUACGGAGGGUGCGAGCGUUAAUCGGAAUUACUGGGCGUAAAGCGCGCGUAGGUGGCUUGAUAAGCCGGUUGUGAAAGCCCCGGGCUCAACCUGGGAACGGCAUCCGGAACUGUCAAGCUAGAGUGCAGGAGAGGAAGGUAGAAUUCCCGGUGUAGCGGUGAAAUGCGUAGAGAUCGGGAGGAAUACCAGUGGCGAAGGCGGCCUUCUGGACUGACACUGACACUGAGGUGCGAAAGCGUGGGUAGCAAACAGGAUUAGAUACCCUAGUAGUC
rnacentral:rRNA from 1 species